AAAUUGAAGAGUUUGAUCAUGGCUCAGAUUGAACGCUGGCGGCAGGCCUAACACAUGCAAGUCGAACGGUAACAGGAAGCAGCUUGCUGCUUCGCUGACGAGUGGCGGACGGGUGAGUAAUGUCUGGGAAACUGCCUGAUGGAGGGGGAUAACUACUGGAAACGGUAGCUAAUACCGCAUAACGUCGCAAGACCAAAGAGGGGGACCUUCGGGCCUCUUGCCAUCGGAUGUGCCCAGAUGGGAUUAGCUUGUUGGUGGGGUAACGGCUCACCAAGGCGACGAUCCCUAGCUGGUCUGAGAG
rnacentral:rRNA from 1 species